GAUAUUAAAUUAGACGGUUAUAUAAAUUAUGUCUGUAAUUUAUACACGUUAAACUAAAACUAAUUUUAGGAUAUCAGAAAACAUCGAUAAAAUUAAUUUCAGUAGAAAAAAGAGCAUUCGGAUCAACAAUAAUCCAAUUUCAUUUUUUAUUCACCCGAACCCAACUCUUAUUUUAUAAAUUUCAACCAAAAGAUCUAAAUUGGGCCUAAGCCCAAUCCAAUAUCCAUACCCGCUUCACAUUUUAUCCAACUAACACCAAUCAAUCUAGAUUGUCAAUUUAUUUUGACCAAAAGAUCCAGAAUUUUCAACCUUAUGAUUUAUUUAUUUAUUAUUAUCUGAUCGAUUAAAUAACCGGACGGAUAAAAAUCAGUUUUAUUCAACUUUUACAUUUAUCCUUAUAUGUAUACCCUUUUUUUUAUAUAAUAGUUGUUUUUUAUAGGCCGUCCGAUCUCAAGAAUACAACAAAAUAUCCCUCUGUCUCUCUCUGAGGAUUAAUUAGGCGGUGCUAUAACUCUGUGCCCCAAAAAGCUGACGGGUCACAAUAUACACUACUCAAAAUGCAAAAACAACCAAGAACCCACGUUCUCUUCCUCCUUCACCCCCCUUUCUGCCACAUCAAAUCCGCAAACCUAAACCCCCUACCAUAGCUGCCACCCACAAGAUUCCCUUCCCUUAUCGGCUAUUCCAACUCAUGAAUCCUUUCAAGAACAAAAAAUCAGCCCCAAAUACAUGUAUGGAGAUGAAUCGUCCUUUUCAAUUUUUUGAAUUUAAUUUCAUCAUCUCUAUCCAACCGUUGGUUUUCAUGAGAUAUUGGUUUCAAAUCCGGAUUUGCACCUAUAAAUAGAAGAUUGCCUAGAGGUGAAAAGAGGGAGGACAAGUUGGAGAAAAACAAGUUGAACACUCAAAAUUAGGGAACACUUGCGCAAAGUCACAAAAUCACAAGUUCCUUUCUUCCUUUUUGUUUAAGUUCGGGCUCCCAAAGUUUGAAAUCCUUGACAUUGGAGCUCCGAUUUGCUGCCCAACAAAAGGUAAAAUCUGCCUUUUUAUCUCACUUUUCAUCUCCUUCUCCAUCGGCUAAUGUUGUUGUUGUGAUUUUGGACCCUGUUUGUUAAUCAACUUUUGAUGCUAAGAUGGUUUUGGGUGUAUAAUCUAUUUUUAAUAAAAGUUUGGUCAUGAUGCCGUUGUUGGUUCCCCAGAAAUUGAUUUCAAAUGUGAUUUCAUCUCUUUGACAUAAAAUUUCUUUCUUUCAAGAGAGGACAACCUUGAAUUCAAGUGCAAGAUAAUGUGAAAUUUUGUCCAUUUAACCUUAUAAACUUUAUCCAUUUAUGUACUGUGUUCUUCAUAUGUUAUGAUUGCAUUAUGCAAAAUAAUUCCACUUGACAGGCUAAAUCAUGAAGUACCAAAACUAAUAGUUUGUACCAUUGCUACUGUUUUUUUUUUUUUAAUGAGUUGUAUGAAGUGAGAUUUUCAAUAUAAUAGUAGCUAUAAUGGCUGUCCAGAUAUGUAUCAAAGUGAUAGUAGCUUCGGACGAUUUUUAAUUUUUCUUGUUUGGUGUAUGUAUGCUUCUGUUAUUUAUAUUUUCAUGUAGAUUUAUGGUUUGAUAAGUUCCUAAUUCUUAUUUCCUUCUGUUUCUUUAUUUUACAUGUGAAUUCGGGAAUUGGAGUUUCAAUUGGAGCUCCAUUUCGAUCCCAAUUAUCGGGUCAGCUAUAGGAUGAUUGCAGAGUCUCGGAGUCGUGAAAAAAAAAUUAAAGAUCAAACUCCAUUAGGAGUCUAGUAUCUCUCAGCCCUUUUCUUUUUAUUUUCAUUAUUCUUGUUAUGUUGUUAGUCUUUUGGAACUUGGAUCGAUAAUUAAUUAUUAUUAUUAUUAUUACCGUAUUUAAGUUAUAUCGUUCAUUUAUCGUACUUAUAUCGCUUUAAAGGCUGAAAAUUUCUUUAAAACAGAUUAAUAUCCUCUUGUUUUUGCAAUUAACAUAUUAUGACUUACUCGUAAAGAUGGAUUUUGCUUUAAAAGGGGUUUCGGCGGUUUUAAUAUUCAAUUAACUCCCUUUUACUAAUUAUUUGCCAGGAAAAUAUUUUUUUUAAUAAAAUAAAUGUCACAAUCCUUUAGGACGGAUGAGAAUUUUAACACUAUUGUAGGAUGACAAUAAAAUAGCUAAGUUCAUAUUUUUGAAAAAAGGAAAGAAACCUAUUCAUCAAUUUCGGCUCAAUCGUCUAACGUUUUACUGUCACUAAUUUUUAAAAUCUCAAAUUUUGAAGCCCUCCAAAACACAACAAGGUCGUCUAACGUUUUACUGUCACUAAUUUUUAAAAUCUCAAAUUUUGAAGCCCUCCAAAACACAACAAGGUAUAUACAUGUACUUACGCAGCCGCACGCAAGGUAUACUCUUGAAUUAUUAUUAUUAUUUUUCUUUCGAUAUUAUUACUAAAUUAUCAUUAUUAUUUCUAUUAUCAUUACUUUACCCUAACUACUAUCGAUAUUAUUACUAAAUUAUCAUUAUUAUUUCUAUUAUCAUUACUUUACUGUAACUAAUAGUGAUAUUAUUAUUACUAUGCUCCAUAUGUUGUUAAAGCUUCAUCAUAUACUACUACAUUUAUUUUUAUCUAUUAAAGCCUCACAGGUCAAACGAGUUUUCAUAUCUUUUCC
rnacentral:lncRNA from 1 species